CCUACGGGAGGCAGCAGUGGGGGAUAUUGCACAAUGGGGGGAACCCUGAUGCAGCGACGCCGCGUGGGUGAAGAAGCGCCUCGGCGCGUAAAGCCCUGUCAGCAGGGAAGAAAAUGACGGUACCUGAAGAAGAAGCCACGGCUAACUACGUGCCAGCAGCCGCGGUAAUACGUAGGGGGCAAGCGUUAUCCGGAUUUACUGGGUGGAAAGGGGGCGCAGACGGCGAUGCAAGCCAGGAGUGAAAGCCCGGGGCCCAACCCCGGGACUGCUCUUGGAACUGCGUGGCUGGAGUGCAGGAGGGGCAGGCGGAAUUCCUGGUGUAGCGGUGAAAUGCGUAGAUAUCAGGAGGAACACCGGUGGCGAAGGCGACCUGCUGGACUGCAACUGACGUUGAGGCCCGAAAGCGUGGGGAGCAAACAGGAUUAGAUACCCUGGUAGUC
rnacentral:rRNA from 1 species